rnacentral:rRNA from 1 species
UACGUAGGGUGCGAGCGUUAAUCGGAAUUACUGGGCGUAAAGCGUGCGCAGGCGGUUUUGUAAGCCAGAUGUGAAAUCCCCGGGCUUAACCUGGGAAUGGCAUUUGGGACUGCAAGGCUUGAGUGCGGCAGAGGAGACUGGAAUUCCUGGUGUAGCAGUGAAAUGCGUAGAUAUCAGGAGGAACACCGAUGGCGAAGGCAGGUCUCUGGGCUGACACUGACGCUCAUGCACGAAAGCGU